rfam:Octopus bimaculoides Scaffold122799_contig_42, whole genome shotgun sequence.
UGCAAUGAUGCUGUAAUUUGCGUCUGAUGGUGCAGUGUGCAGACAGUUGCCUGCUGUCAAUUAAUGUCACUGGCUCUCAUUGAAGAAGUUUUAAACUGAGCA